GCCCUGUGGUUGCUGGAUCUGUAUGAUGUUACUGCACGCCAGCGUAUGGUGAAGGGCGCACAUUAAUACUGUGAUAUUAGCAUGGGGUGUGACGUUGCUGUGCUGUCCCCAUAGCCCGGUCACAGUGACAUGU